GGGGUUGCCGCUCAGUGGUAGAGCACUUGCCUAGCAUGCAUGAGGCACUGGGUUCAAUUUCCAGCACCA
rnacentral:tRNA from 1 species